AUGUUGGAAAUGGGCGGCGCUUCGUGGAGGUGGCGCCCUUUGUCGUUGGACCGCGCCACAGGACGCCAUUGUCUGUUUGGCGGCGCAGCACCGCGCGGCGUGCGCGACGCACGUCGACGCCCGGCGUCGCGACGCCACUCUUGCACGCAACGCCGUCGCGGCCGUCGUCAUCUUCCUGCCUCUUUUCUCUCUGCCUUCAGCUAGCCGCCCGAAUUUCUGCGCCGAGAGGUAAGUCGACGAUCCGUACGUAUGCGCGUGUGUUUGUGCGUCGUUUACAUGUUAGUCCUAUACAGGUAUGUGUGCAUAUGUGUGAGUUGUGUACGCGCACGGACGUGAGGAUGCGUGAACGAGAUUCUCGUAUGAACGUGUGUCGCAAUUUGCUACUUUAUUGCUCCUUUUCCUCCACCCUUCUUUUUUUCUCGUGUCUCUUUCCUGCCAUACAUUUUCUUGUCUGUAUAACCGUCUUGUACUGUUUACCGCGUCUUCCAACAUAGACAAACAUUAUUCUUUAUGUACACCACUUUUUACAAAUAUUCGUUACACAUUGUUUCUUUUAUACAUUGCACGAAUACAUGUGGACUAGGGUUUUUUAACGUAAAGGCAACGUGAGGAAGUUUCUUAAACUGGAACUGGUGUCAUUCGGAAGUAUACGAGAUUGAACAAUGUCAGUCUUCGACUGCCACCUAUGUACACAUGCUUGUACUCGCAAGUUUCCUACCUACCUUUAAUUCCCUACUUCAUGGAAUACUGCGUUACAGUUAACCCAUUCCACUAAUCGUCCAUCAACCAUUAAUAUGUGUAUUUUACGCAUCCGUAUAUCAAAGAAAAACAUUUUAAUUUCCUACAUACGUACAUUGCACUGCUUUCUUUUAUCUUAAACAGUUUCUCUGUAUGACAAUAAUUAUUCUGUACUACUGAUACUUUGUAUAAAUCGUCUAAUCUAUAUCGUGUCACAAGAAGGCAGCACACACGCGAAAUAAUUGUUCGGACACGUUCGAUCGUAUCGCGAAGUCGACAUCGUUUUGCCCUAGAACAGGUGACUCCAAUUACGGUCCAAUUACCUGUGCGUUUAAUUCUCGUCCGACGCGACGGUUGAGGCGUUAAUUCGAGAGCGUGUA